AACUGAUACUACCUGCGGGAACCUGCGGAGGGAUCAUUACUGAGUAACGUGGUCUUUUAGACCCGCUACCCGCCCUUUGUCAUAUGGUUGGACGAGGUCGUCUUUAGGGGCGGCCUCCGACCCCACUUCCCGGGAAGCGUUGCGCCUCAUCAGGUCUAGGGCCUUGAUGGGGAUUGGGACCGCCCGGGGUCUUUUUCAAACCCUUUGUGAGAAAUCUGAAGUCUGAAGCGAAAGCUUAAA
rnacentral:misc_RNA from 1 species